GGGCAGCAGCUGAGGGGGAAUGAUCAGUCCUGACUGUGGUCAGUACUGUUCAAUAGCCUUGAGGACCAGGGCAGGACAAAGGUAAAAGACCCAGAAGCCCCCAGCACGGGCAUGCUUCUCUGCUUCCUGCCCACCACCAGGAAAUGGUGUGAUCCGCACAACACGGGGAAGAAGGGAAUAAUGGGAAACAACUCGUCCCAAUGAAGACAGGGCUAGUAGAACAGAAACCUAGCCAAACCAGGCAAGACGGAUAGAAAACAAAGAGCAAGGCAGCGGCAGACCGAAACGGAAAGGGGAUAAACGCCUGAUGUAGUAAUUGUGGAAUCUUCACGAUGGGAUCCUGGCUGGUGUAUGUAAGGAAGGCAGUCAGACCUACUGCUGGGGAACAAUUAGGAAACGGGUCCUCUGCUUGUCCAGCAUGUGUUAGCGCAUCGUCGCACCUCGGCUCAGCUGCGGUGGGGGCACGAGACAAAAUGCAGCCGAGGGAGGGGGCCCUCAGUCUGGUGAGCAGCAUUAAUCUGCUCUGGCAACCAGUGUGGGUACAGAACUGUAGAACCGAAAGACUUCUGCUUACCACCUAUGAAGUU